rnacentral:lncRNA from 1 species
CCGCCGCCGCCGUCGCUGCUGCUGGUGCUCCCGGUGUGCCUGCUCGCCGUCCUGGUGGCCAUGGCGUUCGUCCCGCUCGACGCGCAGAGCAACGUCGUCGGCUCGUCGUGCUUGUAGAGAAGGAAAUUAUUUUCUUGCUUCUUUUAUCUCUUCCAGUUAGUUUAGGUUAGCACAAAGAAACCGGCAUCACUUGUUAGAUUAGUUGGAGUAGUUCAUUAUUUGGUUGUAAACUCACCAUAGUUUACUGCUGAUCUAUCGGUGCUCCUGAACCUUACCACCAUGGAAUACACAUGCUGCCAUGCCAUCCCUUCAGAAAUCAAAAUGAACAUUGUAUAUCUCGCGUCACAUGGAUGACGUGAUCACAAGACAAACGGUCUCAUCUUUUUAUUCUUAUUUUAACAUAUGAUGUUAUUGAUUCGUUUGAUGAACAUUUGUCUAAUUGUCACAUUUACAAACUUUAUAUAAAUAUACAAAAAUAUCAG